AUCACAAUUGGCUACUUGACAGUUUUCGGAAAAUUAAUUUAAAAUUUUCCUAGGUUUAUUUUAUACCUCUUACAACUAAUCAUCUUUCCAAAAAAGCCUUAUUUUAUAGAGAAAAUCAAAACUUUCAUUCAUUGAUUUUAAAUUCGCGCCAAAACUGUCAGUCACGUGACACUUGGGGGCUGUGACGUCAUAUUUCAAAAAACAAAACAAUCUAAUACGACGCUCUAAUCGAGUACAUUGCAUUGCUCUAAAUAAGCUCUAACGUGUAUAUUAUUUUGAGUACAAAUUUCAGAUUUUAUAAAUAAUACCUACUGAAAUGACAAGUUAUAAGACGUGUGGCGUCCCUAUGUGCAAGAGUACGACAAUUAAAUGUCCUAAUAAAUUAUUUAUACACGUCCCAAAAUGUCCUAAACGUCGAAAGCAGUGGAUACAGUUAACACGCCGAGACCCGCAGUUUACAUCUGAUAAAUCUGCGAUUUUCUUUUGUGAAGACCAUUUCGAUCUACCUAAUGAUAUGGAAAAUUACAUUGAAUACAGUGUUAUGGGUUCUGUUGGUAAAA